rnacentral:rRNA from 1 species
AGGUGGUUAUAGCGACGGGGCUCACCUCUUACCAUUCCGAACAGAGAAGUUAAGCCCGUUUGCGCCGAUGGUACUACAUUUGUGGAAGAGUAGGUCGCCGCCUUCUU